CCCUUAGAUGUCCUGGGCCGCACGCGCGUUACACUGAUGCAUUCAACGAGCUUAUAACCUUGGCCGAGAGGCCUGGGCAAUCUUGUUAACGUGCAUCGUGAUAGGGAUAGAUUAUUGCAAAUAUUAAUCUUGAACGAGGAAUUCCUAGUAAGCGCAAGUCAACAGCUUGCGUUGAUUACGUCCCUGCCCUUUGUACACACCGCCCGUCGCUACUACUGAUUGGAUGUUUAAGCGAGGUUCUCGAACUGCUAGCGACUUAGCUUCGGUGAGGUCGCAGUGUGGGAAGUGAACCUAGCUUUGGUGUCUAGAGGAAGUAAAAGUCGUAACA
rnacentral:rRNA from 1 species